rnacentral:tRNA from 1 species
ACUGGUUUAGUAUAAUUAGUACGUGGGAUUGUAGCUCCUAAGGUAAUAUUUAUUAGCCGGAU